GCUGCUUCUUUCUCUACUACUUCUCUUCUUCAUCAAAAAAUACGAAGAUUCAUUAACCAAAUCUACCUAAAACAUCAAAUCUUCUUACUUCUUCAUCAACAUCAACUGAAAACGAAGAUUCAUGAAUGGUUUAUUGAUUUCAGGCUAAUAUCUAUCAGGAGGAGGGGAACAUUUUUAAUUUGCAUAUUAUGCCUGUUAGGUUUUUAAGGUAAGAAAAAGAGUUGCUGAAAUAAAGACGAUGAUGAUUCAAAACGGUAAGUUCUUUAAAACCCAAUUCCAUUUUUCAUUGCUUGAUCACAUCUAUGUUGUUUAAUUUUUGUUUAAUGGCAAUAUUGAAUUUACGAUUUCUGUAAAAUUGAUUUUGGGAUUUUGAGAAUUGGGCACUCUGUUUGAAACAUGAAAAUUUUGGGCUAAUCAACAUGUUGAUAACAUAUUUCAGUUGAAACACUUUGUGAGUAAUCUAGGUUUUCGAACUUUGUUAUGUUUAAUAAAAUUUGUUCAUGUCACUUGUAGAAUCCAAAGAUUGACUUAAUGUACUUUACUAUUUUGGAUGCAUAUUUGUAAAAUUGUGGAGGGCUAGAGGUACUCAAAAAGACUUGAUGAACGCCGGAUAACUGCUCUUUUGAAACUUACAUGUCCCAAGGGACUGCAAUGUUUAAAAGGCUGGGAGUCUGAGGAAACGAUCUGCAACCCAAACCUGGAAGCUUAUGUUGCGCUGGAGCCAUGUGAUAUGCAAAUAGCUAAACCUUGAUAUCCUGCGACAUAUUGCAGGUAUUUGGGCUUAAGUCAAAAAGAAGUACUCUGGUGAUAUUGUAGUUUGCAGAGGAAUUUUUUUAAGCAAGCGGAGUCUCGUUAUACUUCUGGUGGAGUUCAAUCUUACUCAUAUAUUAGUCUUUCUUUCCCUGUUUUUCAAUGCCUCUUUCAGUUGACACAAACUAGGUCACCCAUCAAUUUAUG